GACUACACGGCAGUAGCAUGCAGAAGGAAGAGCCAGACUGCGAGGGAAAGCAUUCUUGUUCAAAAGAGGUUUCCGUUUCACGGCAGAUGCGUUAAUUUGGGCCUAGCACCUGUUUGUGAAUUCACACGCAGCACAGGAUCAAAGAAAAGCUCAACCCGUCUGGAGGGCUCUGCUUGCCAGUGGCUAAACAGAACCUUGCCACUUGAAAUAGCCAGAAGUGGACAGUUCAGAGUGCCAACAAGAAAGGAGUCCAGUCGAGCGCCAAACUUACCACUGUUCUACACAACCUGGCUUCUGUGUCUUUGGCCUGCGGCUGUUAGCAGCUAUAUCUGUACAUUAUUAGCAACGCAGGGGCCAAGUUAACAAAUCUA